UUUGCCAAAAGUGUACCAGUGUCAGGUAUUAAAGAAUACCGAUACCAUGAAGCCACACCUUGGUGUUCUCAAAACACCCUUAUACUGAUUACCAAAAGUGGUCAAGAAAUCUGUGUUGAUCCAGAUGACAGACGGUUCCAGAUGAUUAUGAAAUACAUUGAUUUACGAUCAAAGACUGAAGAAGCUUCGCAGUCUGACAGACGUGCUUCGACUGUCAGAGACUUGACUGAGGUGACUACAGCUACUAUUCCUCUGUAACGCGUACAAAAAAGGCAAAAAUAGACCAAAUUAACUAAAACAUAUAGUCAUGGAAAAAAUCAUUAGACCACCCUUGUUUUCUUCAAUGUCUUGUUCAUUUUAAUGUCUGGUACAACUAAAUGUACAUUUGUUUGGACAAAUAUAAUGAUAACAACAAAAAUAUCUCAUAAGAGUUUAAUUUCAGAGCUGAUAUCAGACAUUUCCCAUGGUUUUAUUGAUAAUAAUCAAAAUCACUUCAGUUCUUCCAUCAGUAUCUAUGGCAUUGUUCUGCCAAAAACAGCUUUUAGGAUUCCAUGUUUUCUUUUCUGUCUGUUUCAGUCCCACGAUCCACUC
ensembl:lncRNA